UCAGAUUUCAGAAAUUAAAAAGAAUUAUUCUUCAAAUAUUAUUUUUUUUUCAAAUUUCAAAUAUUGAAAAAUUUCAAGAAGUAAUCUUUAAUUGCACAGUAUGGUGCAUUAGAUUUGUAAAAUCUUUGAUCACAUUUAUUUAUUUGUUAUGCCGAAUCUUACAGUGUAUUUAGAUUUUUAAUUUUGGGUCCAGUUUUCAAAUUGGUCUACAUUAAGGUCCAAAGGGUCCAAAAUUAAACUUUGUUUGAUUUUAGCAAAAAUUGAAUAUAUGAGGUUCUUUGAUAUGCUGAAUCUAAACAUGUAUUUAGAUUUUUGAUUUUUGGCCCAGUUUUCAAGUUGGUCCAAAUUGGGGUCCAAAAUUAAACUUUGUUUGAUUUCAACAAAAAUUGAAUAUAUGGGGUUCUUUGAUAUGCUGAAUCUAACCAUGUAUUUAGAUUUUUUAUUUGUGGACCCCGUUAUCUAAUUGGUUCAUAUUGAGGUCAAAUGGGUCCAAAAUUAAACUUUGUUUGAUUUCAUCUAAAAUUGAAUUAUUGGGGUUCUUUGAUAUUCCAAAUCUAACCGUGUAUUUAGGUUUUUAAUUUUGGGUCCUGUUUUUUAAAUUGGUCUACAUUGAGUUCCAAAGGGUCCAAAAUUAAACUUAGUUUGAUUUUAACAAAAAUUGAAUUCUUGGGGUUCUUUGAUUUGCUGAAUCUAAACAUGUGUUUAGAUUUUUGAUUAUGGGCCCAGUUUUCAAGUUGGUCCAAGAUAGGGUCCAGUAUUUAAACUUUGUUUGAUUUCAACAAAAAUUGAAUAUAUGGGGUUCUUUGAUAUGCUGAAUCUAAACAUGUAUGUAGAUUUUUGAUUAUGGGCCCAGUUUUCAAGUUGGUCCAAAUUGGGGUCCAAAAUUAAACUUUGUUUGAUUUCAACAAAAAUUGAAUAUAUGAGGUUCUUUUAUAUGCUGAAUCUAACCAUGUAUUUAGAUUUUUUAUUUGUAGGCCCCGCUAUCAAAUUGGUUCAUAUUGAGGUCAAAAGGGUCCAAAAUUAAACUUUGUUUGAUUUCAUCGAAAAUUGAAUUAUUGGGGUUCUUUGAUAUGCCAAAUCUAACCAUGUUUUUAGAUUUUUAAUUUGGGUCCCGUUUUUUAAAUUGGUCGUCAUUGAGGUCCAAACGGUCCAAAAUUAAACUUAGUUUGAUUUUAUCAAAAAUUGAAUUCUUGGGGUUCUUUGAUAUGCUGAAUCUAAACAUGUGUUUAGAUUUUUGAUUAUGGGCCCAGUUUUCAAGUUGGUCCAAGUUGGGGUCCAAAAUUAAACUUUUUUUGAUUUCAACAAAAAUUGAAUAUAUGGGGUUCUUUGAUAUGCUGAAUCUAACCAUGAAUUUAGAUUUUUUAUUUGUGGGCCCCGCUAUCAAAUUGGUUCAUAUUGAGGUCAAAAGGGUCCAAAAUUAAACUUUGUUUGAUUUCAUCAAAAAUUGAAUUAUUGGGGUUCUUUGAUAUUCCAAAUCUAACCGUGUAUUUAGAUUUUUAAUUUUAAGUCCCGUUUUUUAAAUUGGUCUACAUUAAGGUCCAAAGGGUCCAAAAUUAAACUUAGUUUGAUUUUAGCAAAAAUUGAAUUCUUGGGGUUCUUUGAUAUGCUGAAUCUAAACAUGUGUUUAGAUUUUUGAUUAUGGGCCCAGUUUUCAAGUUUGUCCAAGUUGGGGUCCAAAAUUAAACUUUGUUUGAUUUUAACAAAAAUUGAAUAUAUGGGGUUCUUUGAUAUGCUGAAUCUAACCAUGUAUUUUGAUUUUGGACAUUGGACCAUAAUAGGUAAAUUAAAAAAAUUCAAGUUCUUAGACCACAUUCUUUCUGUGUCAGAAACCUAUGCUGUGUCAAAUAUUUAAUAACAAUCCAAAUUCAGAGCUGUAUCAAGCUUGAAUGUUGUGUCCAUACUUGCCCCAACUGUUCAGGGUUCGACCUCUGCGGUCGUAUCAAGCUGCGCCCCAGCGAAGCAUUUUAUUCUAGUUUCAUGACAAUAACUUGUUUGUAAGUGUAUGGAUCUUUAUGAAAUUGUACUACAAGGUUCCAUAUCACAAAGGGAAGGCUGGGAUUGAUUUUGGGGGUUUUCACUCAAAAUUUUAGUAAUUAGGGGCCAUAAAAGGGCAAAAAAAACAUGCAUUUUUCUAGUUUCAGGACAAUAACUUGUGUGUAAGUGUAUGGAUCUUUAUGAAAUUGUACUGCAAGGUUCCAUAUCACAAAGGGAAAGCUGGAAUUGAGUUUGGGGGUAAUUGCCCUAAACGUUUAGGAAUUUGGGGCCAAAAAGGGGCCAAAAAACAAGCAUUUUUCUAGUUUCCAGACAAUAACUUGUGUUCAAGUGUAUGAAUCUCUCUGAAAUUGUAGUGCAAGGUACCAUACCACAAAGGGAAAGCUGGGAUUGAGUUUGGGGGCGGUGAAUCAUAAGGGGGUUCAAAAAAUUGGGGGGGGGGGGAUUUUUUUUUUCCUUUUUUUUCUUUAACAUUUUCCAUUUUAAAUUGGUUAUUUCUGAUUUAUAUAUAAAAGCAAAUAAUAAUGAUAUGGUUUGAAUAGGCAUACAUGUGAACCUCCCGACGGGAGUACAAUAAUCCCGUUUUCAGGGGUCUCCUCCCGACUUCCUGUUGAAGAGGAAAAAAUCCCGUGUAUGAAAUUUUUCAUGAAUGAAAAAUUUCUGCCCAACAUAUCAUCUCAGGCAUCUGGUGUAACUGACAUUACCUGAAGAUAUAUUUUACCUGUAAAUCAAUUAACAUGCAUAAUUAUAUGGCUUCACUUGUCAGCUUGGGUGUCAAACAUACUGGUAAGCAACGAUUUUUACCUCAGGCUAACUGCCGUUGUGUAACAAAAACUGUGUAUUUAUUGGGUUACUUCCCUUGAUUUAUCCUGUUUUAAGUUACUUUCCUUUUAAUAAUGAAAAUUUUUAAAAGAAUAUAAAUAAAAUAUAAAUUGAACAAAUAAUCAUAAAAGGAUGGUUAUUAAAUGAUUUUAAAUGUCUUAGGACAAAUAAAAAAAUAAUAAUUUGAAAAUUAUUUGAGGAUUCUAUACUUCCUUUUAAGGCUUAAAUUGAAAUUUAUAUAAUAACUAUGACCCUAACUUUACAGAUAGAAUGAAUUUCUGAGUUUGCAAAUAAAAACUAUUUGCAAGAGAAAAAAAAAAUAAAUAAAAACUAUUUGCA